AUCUAUUGUCAUCCCACAGUCAUUGCACCUUAACGUCCAAUCAAUGACAUGUUGCCGUAGGUGCAACAGUGGCUAGCCCACUUAGAGAGAUUAAUACGUUUACAGAUAAAUACUCAGUAUAAGUGGAUCUGAAUGGGGCCAAUAGACGCAACACGAUGAAGGAACUGACGUCAUGGAAUAACAAUAACGAUUGAUUGAGAGAUUCCAGUUGUCACUGAAAAAACAAGUCUGCGUUUGUGACAAACAAGUUGGCUAUGGUUGUUUGGAGAGUGUCCACCUACAAACAACCUGAACAGUCCGCAUCGACCAUCCUCAUGUCAGCUGCAGGUGGACAAACAACCAGGUUCCCGUCAUUCUGUACAUAAAUGGAAAGUAUCCUACAGGAAGGAAUAGAGAAGUAGGUGUGUGUUUAGAGUUUUCAUGAAGAAAAGCAGAGAAGACAGAUUGCCAUAUUUAUUGGUCACAGUGAAGGAAUACAGUGAGAACAUCCUGACCUGAAAAACCUACAUGCGCACGCUUCUGGAAGCCCUGCACAGCAGAGAUGGAGGGUGAAAUAGGUUGAGCGCCAGCACACUCUCUGCAGCAUGGUACAUCACUUCAUGAAUCUAUAUUUAGGCAGGAGAACGGUCUCGAUGUCAACGAUGAAAGUGGCAAUCUGGAAGAUUAAUUGUCUGCUAAAUCACUAUCUAUUUCUGAAUGAGGUAACACAAUGGUAAUUGACCGUAUAACCUGAUUGUAUUUACAGUAUAAUGAUGUUAAGAACUGGGGGACGAUGCUUAAACCCAGUUCUUAAAGAAGGUAAUCUUUGAGAUUGCCACUUUAAAGUCAUGAAUUACUUUGUUUACCUCAAAACGCCACAGUGAUAGUUUCAUGUGUUUAAAUAAUUCAAAAUAUACAUGUAAAAUCAA
ensembl:lncRNA